AGAAUCAACGCUGGCGGCGUGCCUAACACAUGCAAGUCGAACGAGAAAGUGGGAGCAAUCCCAUUAGUAAAGUGGCGCACGGGUGAGUAACACGUGACUAACCUACCCUUGAGUGGGGGAUAACCUAGGGAAACCUGGGCUAAUACCGCAUAAUACCUACGGGUCAAAGGAGCAAUUCGCUUUAGGAGGGGUCGCGGCAGAUUAGUUAGUUGGCGGGGUAAUGGCCCACCAAGACAGUGAUCUGUA
rnacentral:rRNA from 1 species